AGAGUUUGAUCCUGGCUCAGGGUUAACGCUGGCGGCGUGCCUAACACAUGCAAGUCGAGCGGGGGCUCGGCGCCCGCAAGGGUGUCGGGUACCUAGCGGCGAACGGGUGAGUAACACGUGGGCAACCUGUCCUCUCGUGGGGGAUAACACCGAGAAAUCGGUGCUAAUACCGCAUGACAUCGUCGGGGGCAUCUUCGGCG
rnacentral:rRNA from 1 species